rnacentral:rRNA from 1 species
AUUGAACGCUGGCGGCAGGCCUAACACAUGCAAGUCGAGCGGAUGAAGGGAGCUUGCUCCUGGAUUCAGCGGCGGACGGGUGAGUAAUGCCUAGGAAUCUGCCUGGCAGUGGGGGAUAACGACCGGAAACGGGCGCUAAUACCGCAUACGUCCUGCGGGAGAAAGUGGGGGAUCUUCGGACCUCACGCUAUCAGAUGAGCCUAGGCCGGAUUAGCUAGUUGGUGGGGUAAAGGCCUACCAAGGCGACGAUCCGUAACUGGUCUGAGAGGAUGAUCAGUCACACUGGAGCUGAGACACGGUCCAGACUCCUGCGGGAGGCAGCAGUGGCGAAUAUUGGGCAAUAGGCGAGAACCUGAUCCAGCCAUGCCACGUGUGUGAAGAAGGUCUUCGGAGUGUAAAGCACUUUAAGUUGGGGGGAAGGGCAGUAAGUUAAUACCUUGCUGUUUUGACGUUACCGACAGAAUAAGCACCGGCUAACUUCGUG